AUAAUGGGUCAGCGACUUAUAUUCUGUAGCAAGGUUAACCGAAUAGGGGAGCCGAAGGGAAACCGAGUCUUAACUGGGCGUUAAGUUGCAGGGUAUAGACCCGAAACCCGGUGAUCUAGCCAUGGGCAGGUUGAAGGUUGGGUAACACUAACUGGAGGACCGAACCGACUAAUGUUGAAAAAUUAGCGGAUGACUUGUGGCUGGGGGUGAAAGGCCAAUCAAACCGGGAGAUAGCUGGUUCUCCCCGAAAGCUAUUUAGGUAGCGCCUCGUGAAUUCAUCUCCGGGGGUAGAGCACUGUUUCGGCAAGGGGGUCAUCCCGACUUACCAACCCGAUGCAAACUGCGAAUACCGGAGAAUGUUAUCACGGGAGACACACGGCGGGUGCUAACGUCCGUCGUGAAGAGGGAAACAACCCAGACCGCCAGCUAAGGUCCCAAAGUCAUGGUUAAGUGGGAAACGAUGUGGGAAGGCCCAGACAGCCAGGAUGUUGGCUUAGAAGCAGCCAUCAUUUAAAGAAAGCGUAAUAGCUCACUGGUCGAGUCGGCCUGCGCGGAAGAUGUAACGGGGCUAAACCAUGCACCGAAGCUGCGGCAGCGACGCUUAUGCGUUGUUGGGUAGGGGAGCGUUCUGUAAGCCUGCGAAGGUGUGCUGUGAGGCAUGCUGGAGGUAUCAGAAGUGCGAAUGCUGACAUAAGUAACGAUAAAGCGGGUGAAAAGCCCGCUCGCCGGAAGACCAAGGGUUCCUGUCCAACGUUAAUCGGGGCAGGGUGAGUCGACCCCUAAGGCGAGGCCGAAAGGCGUAGUCGAUGGGAAACAGGUUAAUAUUCCUGUACUUGGUGUUACUGCGAAGGGGGGACGGAGAAGGCUAUGUUGGCCGGGCGACGGUUGUCCCGGUUUAAGCGUGUAGGCUGGUUUUCCAGGCAAAUCCGGAAAAUCAAGGCUGAGGCGUGAUGACGAGGCACUACGGUGCUGAAGCAACAAAUGCCCUGCUUCCAGGAAAAGCCUCUAAGCAUCAGGUAACAUCAAAUCGUACCCCAAACCGACACAGGUGGUCAGGUAGAGAAUACCAAGGCGCUUGAGAGAACUCGGGUGAAGGAACUAGGCAAAAUGGUGCCGUAACUUCGGGAGAAGGCACGCUGAUAUGUAGGUGAAGUCCCUCGCGGAUGGAGCUGAAAUCAGUCGAAGAUACCAGCUGGCUGCAACUGUUUAUUAAAAACACAGCACUGUGCAAACACGAAAGUGGACGUAUACGGUGUGACGCCUGCCCGGUGCCGGAAGGUUAAUUGAUGGGGUUAGCGCAAGCGAAGCUCUUGAUCGAAGCCCCGGUAAACGGCGGCCGUAACUAUAACGGUCCUAAGGUAGCGAAAUUCCUUGUCGGGUAAGUUCCGACCUGCACGAAUGGCGUAAUGAUGGCCAGGCUGUCUCCACCCGAGACUCAGUGAAAUUGAACUCGCUGUGAAGAUGCAGUGUACCCGCGGCAAGACGGAAAGACCCCGUGAACCUUUACUAUAGCUUGACACUGAACAUUGAGCCUUGAUGUGUAGGAUAGGUGGGAGGCUUUGAAGUGUGGACGCCAGUCUGCAUGGAGCCGACCUUGAAAUACCACCCUUUAAUGUUUGAUGUUCUAACGUUGACCCGUAAUCCGGGUUGCGGACAGUGUCUGGUGGGUAGUUUGACUGGGGCGGUCUCCUCCUAAAGAGUAACGGAGGAGCACGAAGGUUGGCUAAUCCUGGUCGGACAUCAGGAGGUUAGUGCAAUGGCAUAAGCCAGCUUGACUGCGAGCGUGACGGCGCGAGCAGGUGCGAAAGCAGGUCAUAGUGAUCCGGUGGUUCUGAAUGGAAGGGCCAUCGCUCAACGGAUAAAAGGUACUCCGGGGAUAACAGGCUGAUACCGCCCAAGAGUUCAUAUCGACGGCGGUGUUUGGCACCUCGAUGUCGGCUCAUCACAUCCUGGGGCUGAAGUAGGUCCCAAGGGUAUGGCUGUUCGCCAUUUAAAGUGGUACGCGAGCUGGGUUUAGAACGUCGUGAGACAGUUCGGUCCCUAUCUGCCGUGGGCGCUGGAGAACUGAGGGGGGCUGCUCCUAGUACGAGAGGACCGGAGUGGACGCAUCACUGGUGUUCGGGUUGUCAUGCCAAUGGCACUGCCCGGUAGCUAAAUGCGGAAGAGAUAAGUGCUGAAAGCAUCUAAGCACGAAACUUGCCCCGAGAUGAGUUCUCCCUGACUCCUUGAGAGUCCUGAAGGAACGUUGAAG
rnacentral:rRNA from 1 species